AAUUCCUUGUCCGUCCUUGGAAUCUAUCAAC
rnacentral:sRNA from 1 species